UUAAUAUAAUAUGUUAUAUUAAUAAAUAUGUUGCUUCAUUCAUUAAUGAAUUGUUAUUAUAUUUUGCCAUUUCAUAUGGCGAUGGCGCUAGUCAUCACACUUCAGAUAGAGAACUGCCUCUUGCUGUCACUUAUGACAAGGUACUUAGCUAUAAUAAGUGGAUUUGGAACACUACUCUAAAUGCAUCCCCCGAGGGCCUAUAUAUUUAAAAACAAAACAAAACAAAACAAAAAAAAAAAAAAACAUGAAUGUAAAAAGAAUAGUUUACUCUAAAAGAAAAUUCGGUCAUCAUUUACUUUUUUUUCUCAAUUUACAUUACAUUAUAAUUUACAUUACUACUAUUACCUAAUAUUAAAGGGAAAGUACAGCCUAAAAUAAAAACCCAUACAGUAUUUACCCUGAUUUCGUUCCAAACUGGUAGGCCUAAGACAUUUUUUUGAAAAUUUUUGAAAAAAAAUCUUUUAAUCAACAUCAUCAUCAUUAUCAUUAUCAUUAUUAUUAUUAUUAUUAUUAUUGUCCAUACAGUACAUACAUCAAAACUGUUUGGUUACCAACAUUCUUCAAAGUAUUUUCUUUAGUGUUAUUUUGUGUUUCCUUUUAAGCAGCUAUCACCGUCUAGCCCAAGACUGGUUUCCUGGUUCUGAAGCUAAGCAGGGUUGAGCCUGGUCAGUACGUGGAUGGGAGACCUCCUGGGAAAACUGGGAUGCUGCUAGAAGCACCACCAAAUAGCACCGUCUUUCAGAUGAGACGUUAAACCAAGCUCCACCCCUUUAGGAUGCAACGGAAGGACACAAGGAAAAGAUGGGAGGACAGAGGAAUUUAAUCAAGUGAAAUGAUAUCCUCGCUCCCUUUAUCGUCACUUCAAAGCAUCAUCAGCUGCACUCGAGGGAUCUACCCAUAUGUUGUUAAAGUUUGGUUAUUUAAAAAAUUAUAAUAAAUAUUAAUAAGGAAAGAUGCCCCAUUAAAAUAUGUGAGAUGUAAAGUUUAUUUAAACUGCAAAAGUAAACCAUACAUUUAAAUGAUUGUGACAGAUAUGAAGGGGGAGGAGAAUUUAUACGUGCCUCACGUUUCUCGACGAGAAAGACUUCCGCAAAGGAUACACCUGUGUGUCCUCGCUCAUGACUCCUCAGGAAGCUUCCUCACUCCUCGUUCCUCGCCUCCUCGCGGUGCAAUUAGAGAAUUGAGAUGUCCUACAAGAUGGCUGAGCUUGAUCGGUUUCCGGGUCAUAGGAUGGAGGACGGAGGAGCGAGGAAACAAGGAGGGAUAUUGAGAAGCACCCCUUGUCAUAUUAGUUACUAUAGUUACCAUUAGUGUUGUAGUACUCAAGACCGGUCUUUGUCUUGAGACCAGUCUUAAGACCAUUUUUUGAAGGUCUUGGUCUCAGACUAAAAGGACUCUGGGUUUUAUUUCAAGACCACUCAAGACCACAACUGCGGGGAUAUCGCUAACUUGCUGUUGCAUUGUCUGAUUUCUUUGUUAACAUCAUUAAUUUGAUUGGAUAUAAAACUUCCUGCUUCAAAUGCAAUCAAUAA